rnacentral:rRNA from 1 species
GACGAACGCUGGCGGCGUGCUUAACACAUGCAAGUCGAACGAUGAACCACUUCGGUGGGGAUUAGUGGCGAACGGGUGAGUAACACGUGGGCAAUCUGCCCUGCACUCUGGGACAAGCCCUGGAAACGGGGUCUAAUACCGGAUAAUACUCCCGCACUCAUGUGUGGGGUUAAAGACUCCGGCGGUGCAGGAUGAGCCCGCCGGCCUAUCAGCUUGUUGGUGAGGUAAUGGCUCACCAAGGCGACGACGGGUAGCCGGCCUGAGAGGGCGACCGGCCACACUGGGACUGAGACACGGCCCAGACUCCUACGGGAGGCAGCAGUGGGGAAUAUUGCACAAUGGGCGAAAGCCUGAUGCAGCGACGCCGCGUGAGGGAUGAC